ensembl:lncRNA
CUAAUAUCUUUUGAUUAAUCACAUGUUUCUUGUAUUCUAUUAUUUCUCUCCUGUUGGCUUGUUAGCUCUAAUAACUGAGACCACUGGUUCUACUCGGGAGCUGCAUCAUAUCCUGGAAGGUACCUCUAGGCAGAAAUGCCAGGCUGCUCGUAGUGGUCACGACAUUUGUUUUCCUUCUGAUCACAAUCUGAUACUGCCAGUUGUCCAAUAUCUAAAAAUAGUUGUUUCAGAUAUUUUGUCUAGUUUUCUAGUCACAACAUUCCCCUCUUUUCUGAGGAAUUCUUCAGUCUUAAGAUGACCCCAUCUUUCUCCUGUGGGAUCCAUUUGUUCCUCACUCCUGGAUCUACUUUCAUCAAAUAUGUUCUAGUAGCUUCCAUUCUUUCUUUUUUUUCCAGUCUCAUGUGAUUUGAUUUUAAUUUUUCUUGAGAUGCAGUAGGUUAACAAUGUUGUUUCAGGUGUACAACAGUGUUUCACUUAUACACUAUAAAUAUAUCUAUCCUUUUCACUUAUACACUAUAGAUGUAUCUGUUCUUUUUUAGAUUCUUUUCCGUUAUAGGUCAGUCACCACAAGGUAUCGAGUAGAAUUCCCCAUGCUUUACAGUAGGUUGGUUAGUAGCUUGAACCAUUCCUUUGACCCAGCACCUUUCUCCAAAUCAUAACCCCAAUUUUCUAUUCCUCUUUAUGUACAAAGGUCUCAAAAUAAUUGUCUCUUUUCUUACUUUUUUCCCAUUUCCUUUUCAAACCUUUCUAAUCUGGCUUCAACCUGACCAUUCCACCAAAGUGAUGUCCAAGACACCACUGACCAUGUUACUGAAUCUCGUGACCCUCUUCUGACUUCAUCCUCCGGGCCCCUGGGUGCUACUUCUACUAUGUUGCCUGCUGUAUCCUCUACGCCACCCCUUCACUACCUCCACUCACUCCUUUUCACCCAGAUGCCUACCAAGCAUGUCCUCUUUGAUGUCUUGCAGGUGCCAUAAACCUAAAUGACAAAAUAGAACACUGGAUUCCCAGCUCACUGAUGUUGUUUGGCUAUAGACAGCCAGGUGACAGCCACCACUGAGAUCUAAGUCAGCACCAGUUAUCUAUUGUCCCAAAUAACCACCUCAAAACGGGCUGAAACGAUGACAUUUAUUUUGCGAACCCACAACGUGGGCAGGCCUCUGAUGGGUACAGCUCAGUGUCAGCUGGAGUAGCCAGAAGGCUGGUUGCUGGGACCACUCAGGCUCCUGCACGUGUCUGGUGGUUGACACUGGGGAUUUGCCGAGUACCCUGCCAGGGCCGGGACACCUACCUGCGCAUACUGCUGCUUCGUGGCCACAUGGUUUCUUCCCAGCAUGGGGGCUUGCUUCUAAGAGUGAGCCCCUUGAGAUGGCCUGCUGGAGGCCAUAUCACUAGUUUCAGUCUGCUUUCCACUGUAUCCUCAAGAGGGAAGUGAUUACAGUCCAGCUUUUGGUGCGAGGAGUGUCAGAGGAUUCAUGGACGUGUUGAAAACCAGCACAAGGGCAUUUCCUUACACAAAGAGGACCACUUUGCUGGCUUCAAACACAGAAGGGUCUGCUCUGUUCCUGAACUUCCCAGAAAUGGAACCGCGUAGACGGGCCCUGUUGUGGCUAGCUUCUUUCACUCAGCACGUUGUUCAGAGAUGCAGCCGAGCAGUAGCAGCAGACAGGCCUUCGUGCCUGCGUGCUCUUCCAUUGCACACGCAGACCACAUUUCACCCCUUCUCCCCUUCACGGAUGUCUGGGUUGUUUUCAGUCAGGGGCUGGUAUAAAUAAAGGUGCCG